rnacentral:misc_RNA from 1 species
UUGAUUGGUCGAAAGACCUUAUCAGAUUCUACCACCUCUGCUGAACCGUUGACCUCCGGGUUAAUAAUCAAACAUCAGUGUAACGAACGUAAGAGUAUCUUAAUUAAACA